UACGGAGGGUGCAAGCGUUGCUCGGAAUUAUUGGGCGUAAAGCGUCCGCAGGUGGCUCAUCAAGUCUGCUGUCAAAGGCAGGGGCUUAACCCCUGAAAGGCAGUGGAAACUGGGGAGCUAGAGUGCAGUAGGGGUAGAGGGAAUUCCCGGUGUAGCGGUGAAAUGCGUAGAGAUCGGGAAGAACAUCGGUGGCGAAAGCGCUCUGCUGGACUGCAACUGACACUAAAGGACGAAAGCUAGGGGAGCGAAUGGG
rnacentral:rRNA from 1 species